UCAUGUUGCCUGCUCAAGUUUCCACC
rnacentral:piRNA from 1 species